rnacentral:rRNA from 1 species
CGUGUAGGCUGCUUCGCAAGUCGGAUGUGAAAGCCCUGGGCUCAACCCAGGAAGUGCAUUCGAAACUGCAGAGCUGGAGUCCUGGAGAGGAAGGCGGAAUUCUCGGUGUAGAGGUGAAAUUCGUAGAUAUCGAGAGGAACACCGGUGGCGAAGGCGGCCUUCUGGACAGUGACUGACGCUGAGACGCGAAAGCGUGGGGAGCAAACA